AUGACAGCCACGACCCCGUAUCUCUGGGUGCGCUCUCUCUCUCUCACCUCCGUCGGCCACGGCCCACGCCGGACUCGGGCUCUUUACAAGUUAAUUCGAAACCCGCGACAAACCCAGAUCGGACCAGCCCUGGCCUGUGGUCUGCCCGGCGGGAUGCCAGGCUGGGGGAACCUGCACCCCCAGACCGGGACUCUCCUCUGGGCCCGGGUUCCCCACGCAGAGGAAAGUUGCCGCCCCGUCCCCCGGGGGAGAUGCUGGGCUGCAGCCUGGACAGCCUUCUCGGCGGCGGCGGCGGCGGCGGCGGCAGCGGCGGGCAGGAGGGGAGCCCCGGCUGGCUGCUGGCUGGCUCCCGCGCGCCCUUUCUGCUCCUUCCUCUCUGGCUCUUCCUUCCCCGGGGUCCUCGCCUUCCCGGAGUGUUGGAGCGAGACGGAGACCUCGGCCUUUGCCGGCGGAAGCGUCGCAGCCCUCAGUCAAGGCAGACAUCACUCAAGAGCACCGAGAACAUGGUUCUUCUCAGCAGAGUGCUCUCGACAGCCAGCCAGUACUAAUCUAUCCAGGUUUGCCAUGCUGGCGAAGCUGUUGCGUGGAAAACAAAUCCUCGAGGUGCAUCUGAGAGAAUCAAGGCCCAAGAAGGUGAACUUGCCCAAGACGUGGCAGGUGAGUGCAUCUGUGAACCUACAGCCAGCUUUGGGGAGGUGUUGGGGGUGCCUUCUCAUGUUUGGAACAUAUUGAAGAAGCCCCAUUCAGGGCCUAGAUGGGCCUUUCGUGGACGUUUCGAAGGCAUCACCUUUCUCUCCUGCACAUCUCCCAGGAGGCCCUUGACCUUGUCCUCUCUCAGAGGUGGCCGCGUUUGUGUUCCUUUGUCUGCCUGCCUCUGUUUUGGGGGGAACAUGGCAGACUCCAACCAGGAUUCUCCAGCCCCCAUGGAAGGAAGCAGACCCACGGCCGUGUUCUUCCCUGGGGCCUGGGACCGAGCACCCUCCUUGGAAAAGGAAUUUGGGGCCACGAGCCCCUACGAGGUGCCGUCCUCUGGAAGCAAAACCUGGUUUCCCAUCUUGGACAGAGCUGUUCUGUCCAGAGAUGCCCCAGGUGCAGGAGGGUGGGUGGGGAGGCUGUGCUGCAUCAUGGACCUUAGGUGGGGGGGCUCAGAAGCUCUCUCUCUCCCUCUCCUGUUGGUUCCCCCAUGCAGGCUGGUGGCUGGGAAUGGAAAGGACCUGCCAGGUGAGGCCUGAGCCGAGUUUAGGGCUAGGGGGCCAAGUGAGCAGUGAGGUUUGUUCCUGGGCUCCGGAGGGCAGCAGGCCCCGCUGAGACCCCAGCUGUGUGUCGUAUGGCGGAGGGGGAGGUGGCUGGGCUUCGGGCAGGGGCCUGCUUGCUGGGGGACCGCCUCCCCAUGGAGAGCAGAGCGGCUGGAGGUCGCUUGUGAGAGGCAGAGGUCCUCCCUGGUCUCCAUCCCUCUCUCAUCCCCUCCUCUAAUUUUAUUCUUGCCGUUUUGCUUAUGACACGGAUGCAGCGAAGGCAUCAUGUGACCGGGUUGGCCAGCCCCAAACAUGACCGCCCAAGCCCAGACCCGGAGACCCUUCCCCCGCCGCGCAGGCCUGUCCCAAGGGCCCUGUGCCCCUGCUUGUGAAUUCUGGGCAUCUCAACACUGGCACGCUCCUCCGACCUGCUUACGCUGUUUAACAAAUGCAUUGGGGGACCAGCUCGGAGAUGAGGAUCGGAGGAGAGAAGGCAU
rnacentral:lncRNA from 1 species